AACGAACGCUGGCGGCGUGCCUAACACAUGCAAGUCGUGCGAGAAAGUUCCUUCGGGAGCGAGUAAAGCGGCGCACGGGUGAGUAACACGUAGGUAACCUGCCCCCCAGUCUGGAACAACUAGAGGAAACUCUAGCUAAUGCCGGAUGAGACCACGAUCCCUUCGGGGGUUGCGGCCAAAGAUGGCCUCUACUUGUAAGCUAUCGCUGAGGGAUGGGCCUGCGGGCCAUUAGCUUGUUGGUGAGGUAACGGCUCACCAAGGCUGUGACUGGCUAGCUGGUCUGAGAGGAUGACCAGCCACACUGGGACUGAGACACGGCCCAGACUCCUACGGGAGGCAGCAGUGGGGAAUAUUGCGCAAUGGGCGAAAGCCUGACGCAGCGACGCCGCGUGGGUGAUGAAGGCCU
rnacentral:rRNA from 1 species